AUGCAAGGUAUGGCUCUCGACAUACAGCACUCAAACUUAUCGGUGGUGUUGUAAUCGGACUCCUUGGAAGCUUUGUCUUGCUUGUCCACAAAUGCUCUGUGGCGGUCAGCUUAUGGCCAGUUAGUUCUAGAGAUUAAACAUUUAUCUGGUAGUAGGGAGUUUGUACCACACAAGAUUAGUCGUUCUCAAAAUAGAGUUGCCGAUCGUUUGGCUUCUUACAAUCGUACGGAGCGAGCCACUGCUGUUUGGCUCCGUCAUGCUCCACCGUGUAUCGAGGACUUGUGGCCUCUCGACUGUAACUCCGUGACUUUGCAAUAA
rnacentral:rRNA from 1 species